rnacentral:rRNA from 1 species
UUUAGAGUUUGAUUCCUGGCUCAGGACGAACGCUGGCGGCGUGCUUAACACAUGCAAGUCUACGAGAACGAGGUAGCAAUAUCUUUAGUAAAGUGGCGUACGGGUGCGUAACACGUAAGUAAUCUACCUUUGGGUUCGGAAUAACUUCGGGAAAUCGGAGCUAAUACCGGAUAAUGCAGCGGCACCGCAUGGUGAUGUUGUUAAAGUUUGUGUAAUGCCUAAAGAUGAACUUGCGUCUGAUUAGCUAGUUGGUGAGGUAAUGGCUCACCAAGGCUGCGAUCAGUAGCUGGUCUGAGAGGAUGAUCAGCCACACUGGAACUGAGACACGGUCCAGACUCCUACGGGAGGCAGCAGUGAGGAAUAUUGGGCAAUGCCCGAAAGGGUGACCCAGCAACGCCGCGUGGAGGAUGAAGGUCGUAAGAUUGUAAACUCCUGUUAGAGGGGAAGAAUAACUAAGUUUGGAGCUUAGUAUGACUGACCCUCAGAGAAAGCCCCGGCUAACUACGUGCCAGC